ensembl:lncRNA
UUCUUAUUCAGAGUAUGCAGUUGUGACAACAAUCUAUCAGGUUUGUCUAAACCAAGGUUGUAUGUAGUCAGUGUUUAUAUAAUGUUUAAUAACAUUUAUAUUCAAGUAUGGAAAUCUUUUCUGAAAUCCUCAGUGAAGUUAUUUUGUCAGCGGGGUAACUGUGCAUAUUUGACACUUUCUCUGGUAUGCAGAUGGUUUAGGGAUGUGGUCACUCAAGAAGUUUUUCGGAAAGCAGCACACUUUGCCUGUUUAGACAGUGUGGCCAACUGGAAGAAUUUCACUCCCAUCUACCGGAAAGAGUUCAGAUGCAUGUACAGCUUCAGGGAAUGCUUGCAGUGCAGAACCCUUUUCCAGUCAUACCCACCAGAGUAUAGGGGAAGAGGCCGACAUGGUGAACUUCUGGGCUUUUACUCAGAUGUUUACACAGGAUUUUGCUCCCAGAACUGUUUUUGCGGCAGGAAAAACAUUGGUGUCUUAAGUUCAUAGAAGGGAAAGAGAGAAUGAACUGAGAGCAACUGGUUUUGAUGUAUUAAUUGAUGUCAUUUAAAGUUAAACUUUGCAGUGUAUAGUGUUUUAAUAAAAAAGCUAUGGCAAACACGUGCAUGACAACAAGUUUCAGUCAUUUACAUCAGUCUAUCAUUAUUUAAGGUUUCCCAUUUAAUUAAUGAAUUCUUAAUUUAGUUGUGACAGCUCUGUGUAAUAUUUCAAUAACCAAUGAUUUUAAAAGUGUUUAAGCAGGUAACUUCAUAAAUUCAGGAUUAAUGAGGUUUUCAGUAAUGCAGUUCAGAUAACAAAUAACAGAAAAAGUGACAAGUGUUUUUGGGUUCCAGUUCUUUAGAAACUGUAUAGUUCCUUCCUUGCAAAAAGUAGCCAUGGUUUUACUGUAGUAAAAAUAUUUGUUGGCAUAUAUGGCAUAAUGUGAAUAUAUAAAUCAAGGUACAUCUACAUAACCAUACUUGCAUUAUAUUGCAGUGUCACUUACAAAAACCAGCAAAUAAAGCCGAGGUAGUGUCCAAUAUAGCCGUUGAGUGAGAAAUUGUAAAUUAGACCAUUUAUUUCUAUUCUGUUCAUUGUAAUCCACCACUCUUUGUAUUUCUACUUUCAUGGGAUGUUGUGGAAACGCAACAAUAAAUGCAAAAACACUACAUUUAUAUUCGCUUUUUAAUUUAUAUUAAAAGUUUAUUCGUCUGAAUGUCUACUUCCACAUUCCAAGCCUGCUCACAGUCAUAAUUCUCUACACCAAUAAGCUCAUUUUAAUCAUAAACCAAUAACUGUUCAGGUGGGCGGGGUGACACCUGUCGCCCUGCCCCAACGUGUCACCCCGUCCCAUCUUCCAAUCUGCACUCUGGCCUACUAUGCACCGGCUGGUUUAGGACUGUCAUGGAUAAAUAAAGAUGGCAAUAAAACCGCCUGUAGGUGGCAGCAAAUCCCUGUUUUAAUAUAUGAUUUAUUGAAUCAUUAAAACCAAACGAUUCGUUCAAAACGGCUGAUUCAAUUAGAAACAAAACAAGUAAAUGGACCAUUGAAUCACUGGCUCACAUGAUUUGUUCAAAAACAGAUUCAUUCAAGGAAUAAAAUGCGUUGCUCUACACUGUUCUAUACAAUAAAAAUACAUAAAAACUCAUACAUGGAUAUUUUUUCUUUCAUUGCUUGAAUUAUAAGGGCAUUCUAACUGCAUUCUAAUGGGCUUCAUCGCGCAGCGAAUGCUUCUUGACUCUCAAGAUGUUUUUUUUUUCUUAGAGUCUUAGAGUCUUAAAGUCGGUGAUACUCCUCAGCUCUCCUAUUGUCUCUCAGUCUCUCACAGUCACACAUACAGCACAAUGACAUUAUGUCAGGAGAAUGUCUUUAAAUUCUAAUCAAGGAAAAAUCAUACCUUCUGUUGUCUUCUUUUUAAAGAACUUCAAAAGUUCAAGCCCUG